AUACCCAACUACGAAUUACUGAUGAACUUGGACGUCGAU
rnacentral:guide_RNA from 1 species